ACACACACACACACACACCACACACAACACACACACACACACACACACACACAACACACACACACACAGGCCUUGUGACGUUUCUGUCUAUGUUUCAAGCUCCGCACUUUGAUCACGAUCAUCUGAAGAUGGCUCCGUCUGCUUCACCACGACUGGACGACUUCCACGGAUACCACCGAGGAAGACGCCAGUCAGAGCCCUCCAGAGCUGCUGAUGUUCACGCCCGAACGCUCCAGGAAGAGUUUACCUCUGCUACUGGACGGAAACCUGCCGUACAGACGCAGCAGGAGGCAGUCGGCGGCCGGCCAAAGACCUUGAAGCAGCUUUUAAUUCAAACGUUGUGCAGCCAGCGGGCAGCGACAGCACGUUGGCGUCCUCCGUCAUCGAGAUGGAGGCCGAACAGGAAGAAGCGAGUGUGA
rnacentral:lncRNA from 1 species